rnacentral:rRNA from 1 species
UACAGAGGUCCCAAGCGUUGUUCGGAUUCACUGGGCGUAAAGGGUGCGUAGGUGGUUAGGUAAGUCUGAUGUGAAAUCUCUGGGCUCAACCCAGAAACUGCAUUGGAUACUAUCUAGCUAGAGGAGUGGAGGGGGGACUGGAAUACUUGGUGUAGCAGUGAAAUGCGUAGAUAUCAGGAGGAAUACCGAUGGCGAAGGCAGGUCUCUGGGCCACUACUGACGCUGAGAAGCGAAAGCAUGGGGAGCGAACGGG